rnacentral:rRNA from 1 species
CGUAAGCGUAUACCAAAGUUGUUGCAGUUAAAACGCUCGUAGUCGGAAUUUGGCAGUUCCGGAUGUGUGCACGUCGUGUGCGCACUUCGCGGGGAUUGCUUUUGUGGUCUUGCGUAGGAUGAGGCACUUUUAUUAGUGAACGUCCUCACGCAACCACUUUUUACUGUGAGAAAAUCAGAGUGCUCAAAGCAGGCAUUUGCCGUGAAUGUAUUAGCAUGGAAUAAUAGAAUAGGACUUGGUUCUAUUUUGUUGGUUUGUUGGGACUGAGUAAUGAUUAAGAGGGACAGUUGGGGGCAUUUGUAUUUCGGUGCUAGAGGUGAAAUUCUUAGAUUACCGGAAGACAAACUGCUGCGAAAGCGUCUGCCAAGGAUGUUUUCAUUGA